GCGGGUGUCGUAUAGUGGCUAUUAUGCAACCUUCCCAAGGUUGAGAGGGGGGUUCGAUUCCCCUCACCCGCU
rnacentral:tRNA from 1 species